rnacentral:rRNA from 1 species
AGCGGUUAAACAAAAGAAUUUAUUUUUUAGGCUAAAAAUUUAAAAUAAAAGUAAAUAAUAUUUUUUUUUUCAAAAAGGUGAAAUUUUUGAAAAAGAUUAUUAAAAGUUUAAAUAAAAAUUUCCUAAAAUAAACUAGGAUUAGAUACCCUAUUAUUAGAAAUAAUAUAUUGUUAGUAUAUAAAACUUACGAAAACAAAAAAUUAUGGCGGUAUCUUAAGCUUUUCAGAGGAAUUUGCUCUUUAAUGGAUAAAACACCCAAAUCUUACUAAAGUUGGUAAAGACAGCUUGUAUACCACUAUUAAAGCAAUUAUUAAUUAUAAUUGCUGUAAAUUUUAUACAAAAAAUAAGUUAAGUCAAGGUGCAGCUUAAACUUUAGGAUGAAGUGAAUUACAAUUCUCUUUAGACAAUUAUUUUUUUCUUAAAAAUAAAAAAAUUAGGAUUUGAAAGUAAAAAUUUUAAUAGAAUGAUUAUUUGAAUUAAGCUCUGAGAUAUGUA